rnacentral:rRNA from 1 species
GGUGAGUAAUGCUUGGGAACUUGCCUUUGCGAGGGGGAUAACAGUUGGAAACGACUGCUAAUACCGCAUAAUGUCUUCGGACCAAACGGGGCUUCGGCUCCGGCGCAAAGAGAGGCCCAAGUGAGAUUAGCUAGUUGGUAAGGUAACGGCUUACCAAGGCGACGAUCUCUAGCUGUUCUGAGAGGAAGAUCAGCCACACUGGGACUGAGACACGGCCCAGACUCCUACGGGAGGCAGCAGUGGGGAAUAUUGCACAAUGGGGGAAACCCUGAUGCAGCCAUGCCGCGUGUGUGAAGAAGGCCUUCGGGUUGUAAAGCACUUUCAGUUGUGAGGAAAAGUUAGUAGUUAAUACCUGCUAGCCGUGACGUUAACAACAGAAGAAGCACCGGCUAACUCCGUGCCAGCAGCCGCGGUAAUACGGAGGGUGCGAGCGUUAAUCGGAAUUACUGGGCGUAAAGCGCGCGCAGGCGGUUUGUUAAGCUAGAUGUGAAAGCCCCGGGCUCAACCUGGGAUGGUCAUUUAGAACUGGCAGACUAGAGUCUUGGAGAGGGGAGUGGAAUUCCAGGUGUAGCGGUGAAAUGCGUAGAUAUCUGGAGGAACAUCAGUGGCGAAGGCGACUCCCUGGCCAAAGACUGACGCUCAUGUGCGAAAGUGUGGGUAGCGAACAGGAUUAGAUACCCUGGUAGUCCACACCGUAAACGCUGUCUACUAGCUGUGUGUGUCUUUAAGACGUGCGUAGCGAAGCUAACGCGCUAAGUAGACCGCCUGGG